rnacentral:rRNA from 1 species
UACGAAGGGGGCUAGCGUUGCUCGGAAUCACUGGGCGUAAAGGGUGCGUAGGCGGGUUCUUAAGUCAGAGGUGAAAUCCUGGAGCUCAACUCCAGAACUGCCUUUGAUACUGAGAGUCUUGAGUUCGGGAGAGGUGAGUGGAACUGCGAGUGUAGAGGUGAAAUUCGUAGAUAUUCGCAAGAACACCAGUGGCGAAGGCGGCUCACUGGCCCGAUACUGACGCUGAGGCACGAAAGCGUGGGGGAGCAACAGG